GUGGUUUUUUGGCAGCGCUGUUGUAGUGUAUGGUGGAGGUGUUGGGUGUGUGUUGUGUGUUCUGCUGUGUCUGUUGUUGACUUGGUCUUGCCUUGGUCUUGGCACAGCAGCGGACGACGAACACUCGGACCAGACCCAACAGACCUCGCCAGAUAGACGUCUUUGCUUGCUUUGAUGAAACCAAAUCAAAAA
rnacentral:misc_RNA from 1 species